rnacentral:rRNA from 1 species
AACGGGUGGAGCGUUGCGGUUUAAUUGGAUUCAACGCCGAAAUCUUACCGGGACCGACAGCAAUAUGAAGGCCAGGCUGAAGACUUUGCCGGAUUAGCUGAGAGGUGGUGCAUGGCCGUCGUCAGUUCGUACUGUGAAGCAUCCUGUUAAGUCAGGCAACGAGCGAGACCCACGCCCACAGUUGCCAGCGUACUCUCUGGAGUGACGGGUACACUGUGGGGACCGCCGCUGCUAAAGCGGAGGAAGGAAUGGGCAACGGUAGGUCAGUAUGCCCCGAAUAUCCCGGGCUACACGCGAGCUACAAUGGUUGGUACAAUGGGUAUCUACCCCGAAAGGGGACGGGAAUCUCCUAAAACCAAUCUUAGUUCGGAUUGAGGGCUGCAACUCGCCCUCAUGAAGCUGGAAUCCGUAGUAAUCGCGUUUCAACAGAACGCGGUGAAUACGUCCCUGCUCCUU